rnacentral:lncRNA from 1 species
ACUGAACUUGGAGCACCAAGAACAGGAGCCCCACCCUGUUUGGCCAGGAUGCCUUUGGGACGCUUGGCAGGGAGCGCCCGCUCCGAGGAGGGAAGCGAGGCAUUUCUGGAGGGAAUGGGUAAUUCAUUCAUUCUUUAUAUCAUUCACCCAUUCUUUUCCAGCCCCCAGCUUUCCCAAGUUCCAGGUCCUGUAGGGAGGGAGGGAGAGUGUCUGUCCAGGAGCGCCCUCUGGUGGGAACAGACAUGCGCCCUAAGGGAGGCGGGGCGGGCACCACGGUGGGUGGGCCAAGCCUGGGCAGUGGGGCAGGCUGGAGACUUCAGGCAGCAGAAGUUUGAGUGGGGCCCAGAACUCCCUGUAGGAAUUGCCAAGGGGAGAAGGAAGGAAGGGUGUUUCUACAGAGAUGACAGAAUGUGGCUAGAGUAGGCUUUCUCAACCUUGGUACUGUUGACUCUUGGGGUGGGAUAAUUCUUUGUUGUGGGGGCAGUCCUGUGUGUCGUAGGAUGCCAAGCAGUGUCCAUGGCUUCUACUCACUGGAUACCAGUAGCCCCCUCCCUUCU